rnacentral:rRNA from 1 species
UACGUAGGGUGCAAGCGUUAAUCGGAAUUACUGGGCGUAAAGCGUGCGCAGGCGGUUAUUCAAGUCAGAUGUGAAAUCCCCGGGCUCAACCUGGGAACUGCAUUUGUGACUGGAUGACUAGAGUACGGCAGAGGGGGAUGGAAUUCCGCGUGUAGCAGUGAAAUGCGUAGAUAUGUGGAGGAAUACCGAUGGCGAAGGCAGCCUCCUGGGCCAACACUGACGCUCAUGCACGAAAGCGUGGGGAGCAAACAGG